rnacentral:misc_RNA from 1 species
GAUGAAGAACGCAGCGAAAUGCGAUAAGUAAUGUGAAUUGCAGAAUUCAGUGAAUCAUCGAAUCUUUGAACGCACAUUGCGCCCGCCAGUAUUCUGGCGGGCAUGCCUGUUCGAGCGUCAUUUCAACCAUCAAGCCCCCGGCUUGUGUUGGGGACCCGCGGCUGCCGCAGGCCCUGAAAACCAGUGGCGGGCUCGCUAGUCACUCCGAGCGUAGUAGUUACAUCUCGCUCAGGGCGUGCUGCGGGUUCCGGCCGUUAAAAGCCUUAUUUACCCAAGGUUGACCUCGGAUCAGGUAGGAAGACCCGCUGAACUUAAGCAUAUCAAUAAGCGGAGGA